UACGGUUCCAAUGUUACUCCUGCCUUCUCAUUCUCUAUCUUCAAAUGCUCUAAUUGGACUCCCAACAUAUCCUCUUCAGCUUCACUUUCUUCUUCGGCCAUUUUACUUGGGGACUCAUGGCCUUCAGAUGAUGAGUCUAUCUCCAGAGCCGUUGUCUGAACAGGAAAAAUGACUUUCAUCCGGAUAGAUCUCUUCAUGACCUUCUGAAGCUGAAUCCUGAUGGUUACUAACAGUCUCCUCAGCAAAACUAGGUGAAUCGAGGACAGUAUCUUCUUUCUCUCGAACAGAGAACUUAAGUACACCGGAACAACUGCCACAUCUCACUUGAUAUCCCUUAUGUUUUCCAUGGAGAGACAUCUGAGGAAGCUGUAGGAGUUCUAAGCAGUAGGAACAAGUUGCAAAAGGCGCUCCACCCUCUGAAGGAAGUACAUAGCGUUUCACCACAUGAUUCCUCUUUUUGUCAUCCUUCUUUUUGUCCCUCCGAGAGCUCUUCUCUCUACUUGUCCCACUCUUGGAAUGAUCAGAGUAUUGGGAACGAUGCUGCACUGUAGCUUCUGGAUAACUACGCUCAGAGUACACAGAGCUACUGGGUUCAUAGAGAUUAUGAUACCGAGGAUCAUGAAGCUGAGACUGAGAAGACGAGGGAUAGUACUUCUGAUCAGAUGUCUCACCCGGGAAACGAGAAGCAGACGGUUCUUGAAACCAACCUUCUCUGUCAUUUUGCCUGAAUUGGUUUGGUUGAUGAUGAUGAUGAUAAUAAGACUUAUCGGAUGCAGAAGCUUGAGACCCGUGAAAGGGACUAUUAUAGCCAUACUCAUACGCAGAAGAAGGGGAAGGACUAGCUGGAUAGAAAGGAACCUGAUAUCUCCUCUCAUGUUGUGUCCACUCAGAGGCAUUGCUGCGUGAGUUAUAAGCUGGAGAGCUUCUAGCUGAAGCAAAAGCAUCAGAAUCACCGGUCACACUGAACUCAUCAGCCCUUCUCAUCCAUUCUCUGUGGACAUCAGAUGUCUCAUGCUUGUAAACAGUUUCUGAAUGGGAUGCCCUCCAGUUGUACUCCCGGUGAGUGCUCCUCAUUGGAGUUUUACUACCAGCUUCUUCAGAUUCUAACUGGGUACUUAAACUACGGUUUUGAGAAUAAAGGAGAGCUUCUGGAAUAGAGUCACCAUUACUUUCCAGGUCCCAACGUUUUGCUACAUGCAAAGAAAGAGUACAAGAAACAGAGAACACUAAGCACAAAGGAAGGUUGAACAUGAGUAGGGGUUUAGGGUGUGUACACAAAGAAGGCUAUUGUACCUUGGAGAAUGGAGUUGCAUCCACUGCAUUUGUAAAUAGUCGCAUCUAUAGGUUCUUGGAGAAGCUUGUGGCACUUGGGACAUCUCACGAUCCUAGACUGUGAAGACAGUCCGGGUGUGGUUUUGGUCUUCAUGCCUCUGAACAUAUGCUUCAAGUCUUUACCACUUACCAACUACAAAAAAAAAACAUGCACAACAGCUCAAAUCCAGAACCAGAGAAUUGGUAAUAGGAUGAAUCAAAAGCCAAAGACAGAGAGAGAGAAGUCACCUUAGAACGGAAAAUGGAGAGGAGCCUAGGUGAAGGUAAAGGUGAAGAAACUGGGGAUGGUUCAAGAGUUUUCUUGGUAGAAGAUUGGGAUCUGCUCUGUUUCUUCUUCUUCAUCAUGGUUUGAUGAUUGACUUAUCUUGGAUGAAUGAUCUUUUUUUCUUCAGAAUACAAAGCCUUUCGUUGAUGAUGAUCUUUCAAACAAGCAAGGAGAUAUUAUUACUAUAUGAAUCAGAUCAAGCACAUGAACUACAAUAAAAAAGAAGAAGUCCAAUUGUAUAAUGGUUCAACAGACUUGUACUUGUUUAUUUAUUUCUUUUACUUAUGGAAAAUUAAGAUCUGAGAGUUGCAUUGAUGAGAGACGAAAGUUGAGGUCCAGUUCCUAAUUCUUAACGACUGGUGCUUCACAAGUCAACUUUGGAGAUCGCCAAAUAAACAGCACUUUAUUAUUGUCUUUA